rnacentral:rRNA from 1 species
UAAUACGAAGGGGGCUAGCGUUGUUCGGAAUUACUGGGCGUAAAGCGCGUGUAGGCGGGCCGUUAAGUCGGGGGUGAAAGCCCAGAGCUCAACUCUGGAAUUGCCUUCGAUACUGGCGGCCUGGACCCAAGUAGAGGCGAGUGGAAUUGCGAGUGUAGAGGUGAAAUUCGUAGAUAUUCGCAGGAACACCAGUGGCGAAGGCGACUCGCUGGACUUGUGGUGACGCUGAGACGCGAAAGCGUGGGGAGCAAACAGGAUUAGAUACCCUGGUAGUCCACGCUGUAAACGAUGAGAGCUAGUUGUCAGUAAGCAUGCUUAUUGGUGACGCAGCUAACGCAUUAAGCUCUCCGCCUGGGGAGUACGGCCGCAAGGUUA